rnacentral:misc_RNA from 1 species
UGCACAUUUGUGUUGCAGCGCAUGUCUUUUACCUUCCGCCGGUUUCUUUGCAGUGUUGGGAUCGGCUUUGCCGCGUCGCCGCUCCUUCGGGGAGCGGCCGUGGCUCUAUGCGAGACUGUGAAACCCGCGGCGCCGCCCGGCAUGGGCAGUGCCGCUCACAUAUCCGCCAACGGCCUUGCGAACCACCUCUUCGACGAAGAUCCGCUACCGACAAAGGAGGAGCUGGAGUACGUCAAGACGUGGGGUGUGCCAUGGGUGGAAGAUUGGGAUCGUCCAGGGAAUCGCGGAAUCAGAGCGGACCGCAGUGCGUCCCAUCAGCGUCAGGUCAUCAUGAUCCGCCACGGUCAGUACGGCAACGAAGGCGUCAAUGACGACAAAAUCCAUCGACUCACUCCGCUGGGCGAGCGACAAGCCCGCGAGACCGGUGUUUACCUGCGCAGGCUCUUUGAGGAGAGUGAUAAGCGGAAGAAGCUCAACGCCAUCUACCGUCAGGCUCGGCGAGCCUACAAACAGGCAAAGAAUGACGGCGCCUCUGAGGAGCAGUUGACUCAGCUGGAGAGGAAGAUGGACGAGGCGCGUCUGGUGCUGUGCGGCGCUGGUGGCAUCUUGGUCGAUGCGAUGCCGAUGGCGGUGCAUGUCUCGGACAUGACCCGUGCAAAGCAGACCGCAGACUUAAUUUUAGAAGCGUUCCCAGAAGACGUGCGGCUACGUAAGGACGUGGACCCGCAGUUGCGAGAGCGCAUUCCAUGCGCCGUGCAGCCAGUGCGCCCCUUCACCCCCUCCGCAGAGGACAUGCAUGUCGCCGAGGCCGUCUUUGAGCGGUACUUUCACCGGCCCGUCGAGUCUGGCACCUCGGUCGAGAUCAUCGUGGGCCACGCCAACAUGAUUCGCUAUCUCACCAUGCGGGCACUACAGCUGCCUCCCGAGGCGUGGCUGCGCACCUCGCUGCCCCAUUGCAGCGUCACAACCAUUACGAUUCGCGGCACCGGUCAUGUGAGCUUGGUCGGUAUGGGCUCAUACGGCCACCUUCCUCCGGACAUGGUGACGGUGUCGAACGUCAAGUAGUGUGUCUCUUUGAGUGCGUUUUUUAGUGCGUGCAAAUCUGCGAGAGCGCUUACAUCCUUAUCGCUCGUGUACCAUUCUGCCCCCACGCAUCCGCAUUUUUCCUCUUUCCCAAACGACCAUCAUCGUCACCUCUUCAUUGUUUUUUUUUUUCGUGCAGAAUCUGGGGUGCGUCGAAGCGGCAGCACGGCCGAACUACCACAUGUGUGCGUUCCUGUGUGAUCUUUC